rnacentral:rRNA from 1 species
AUUGAACGCUGGCGGCAUGCCUUACACAUGCAAGUCGAACGGUAACAGGUCUUCGGAUGCUGACGAGUGGCGAACGGGUGAGUAAUACAUCGGAACGUGCCUAGUAGUGGGGGAUAACUACUCGAAAGAGUGGCUAAUACCGCAUGAGAUCUACGGAUGAAAGCAGGGGAUCGCAAGAACUUGUGCUACUAGAGCGGCUGAUGGCGGAUUAGGUAGUUGGUGGGAUAAAAGCUUACCAAGCAGACGAUCUGUAGCUGGUCUGAGAGGACGAUCAGCCACACUGGGACUGAGACACGGCCCAGACUCCUACGGGAGGCAGCAGUGGGGAAUUUUGGACAAUGGGCGAAAGCCUGAUCCAGCAAUGCCGCGUGCAGGAUGAAGGCCUUCGGGUUGUAAACUGCUUUUGUACGGAACGAAAAGCCCCGGGUUAAUACCCUGGGGUCAUGACGGUACCGUAAGAAUAAGCACCGGCUAACUACGUGCCAGCAGCCGCGGUAA